rnacentral:rRNA from 1 species
UCCGCAGGGGGUUUGCCAAGUCUGAUGUGAAAUCCCGUGGCUCAACUGCGGAAUGGCAUUGGAAACUGGCGGACUGGAGUCUGCGAGAGGUGAGCGGAAUUCCUGGUGUAGCGGUGGAAUGCGUAGAUAUCAGGAAGAACACCAAUGGCGAAGGCAGCUCACUGGCGCAGUACUGACCCUCAGGGACGAAAGCGUGGGGAGCAAACA